rnacentral:rRNA from 1 species
UACGUAGGGCGCAAGCGUUGUCCGGAAUUAUUGGGCGUAAAGAGCUCGUAGGUGGCUGGUCGCGUCUGCCGUGAAAGCCCGCAGCUUAACUGCGGGUCUGCGGUGGAUACGGGCCGGCUAGAGGUAGGUAGGGGCAAGUGGAAUUCCUGGUGUAGCGGUGAAAUGCGCAGAUAUCAGGAGGAACACCGGUGGCGAAGGCGGCUUGCUGGCCUGUUCUUGACGCUGAGGCGCGAAAGCUAGGGUAGCAAACGGG